CGCAGUGACUCGAUCCACGACUGCGUACACCUCACUUUUAGAGAAAGCCUGAUGCUGUUUGCUCUCCAGGUGCUGGUGGUCAGAAGGUCAGAACAGAUGAGAAACAGCAUAUGCAAAGUGUUCAUUUAAACUUCAGUGGACUUCCAACACGUACCGCCUUUAGAUCAUCCUUUCCAUGGUCAUCCACCAGAAACGGACUGCAGGGAGGAAGAGACUGAAGGUUGCACACAGGCAUGUUGGACAGGG